ACCAGCCUGAAAUGCACGUAAAUUUCACUAUGUCCGACCUACAUGUAUAUUAGGGAUUCUGAUGGUACGCAGCUGUCGGGCCGCCUUUGAGCGGAUGGCAAAAACGCACCUUAUGAAACCCACCUGCGAGGAGCGGGUUCGGACAUAGUAAGUGCCGGCAUUUCGGGCUUAUA
rnacentral:other from 1 species